rnacentral:misc_RNA from 1 species
GUGCGAAUAUGUGAAAUUGAUAUUUAUAUUUUUUUUGUUACUGUUUUCAGGUUUGUAUUGGUGGAAUUGAUGACUACCCAUUUUCCUUUUUCUAAAAGAAUUAGGCAUUUUUAUUGAUGCCCUUUGCUGUUCGCCAUAGAGAACAUGUAAAAUUAUGUUUCUCCAAAAUUAAGUGUUCUGUUUUUCUCCAGUGGAGUGUAAAAUUGUGUUUGUGCAAAAUUAUGUGUUCUGUUUUUCUCCAUUGUGAAAACAGAAUUCUUUUUUCCUAGAGUUCACUUUAAUUUGGUCGGGCCAAAAUUGGAUCAGUUGGACUACUUUGAGGUUCAGUUUUAUUGUUUCGUGCUUUUUGAUAAUUCAACUAUGCAAUUGAUACUGUGCCCUUAUUUUUGCCGGUUU